rnacentral:rRNA from 1 species
ACGAUUAAGACUUCCUUCGGGAAGUGUAUAAAGUGGCGCACGGGUGAGUAACACGUAAGUAAUCUACCCUCGAGUGGGGAAUAACGUUCGGAAACGAACGCUAAUACCGCAUAACGCAGCGGCACCGCAAGGUGACAGUUGUUAAAGGAGUAAUUCGCUUGAGGAGGAGCUUGCGGCAGAUUAGCUAGUUGGUAAGGUAACGGCUUACCAAGGCUACGAUCUGUAUCCGGUCUAAGAGGACGGUCGGACACACUGACACUGAAUAACGGGUCAGACUCCUACGGGAGGCAGCAGUCGGGAAUUUUGGGCAAUGGGCGAAAGCCUGACCCAGCAACGCCGCGUGAAGGAUGAAGUAUUUCGGUAUGUAAACUUCGAAAGAAUGGGAAGAAUAAAUGACGGUACCAUUUAUAAGCUCCGGCUAACUACGUGCCAGCAGCCGCGGUAAUACGUAGGGAGCAAGCGUUGUUCGGAUUUACUGGGCGUAAAGGGCGCGUAGGCGGCGCGGUAAGUCACUUGUGAAAUCUCUGAGCUUAACUCAGAACGGCCAAGUGAUACUGCAGUGCUAGAGUGCAGAAGGGGCAAUCGGAAUUCUUGGUGUAGCGGUGAAAUGCGUAGAUAUCAAGAGGAACACCUGAGGUGAAGACGGGUUGCUGGGCUGACACUGACGCUGAGGCGCGAAAGCCAGGGGAGCAAACGGGAUUAGAUACCCCGGUAGUCCUGGCCCUAAACGAUGAAUACUUGGUGUCUGGAGUUUCAAGACUCCGGGUGCCGUCGCUAACGUUUUAAGUAUUCCGCCUGGGGAGUACGCUCGCAGAGUGAAACUCAAAGGAAUUGACGGGGACCCGCACAAGCGGUGGAGCAUGUGGUUUAAUUCGACGCACCGCGAAGAACCUUACCUGG